GGACGAACGCUGGCGGCGUGCCUAAUACAUGCAAGUCGAACGGUCUUUCUAUGGAAGCUUGCUCCACUGAGAAGAUAGUGGCGAACGGGUGAGUAACACGUGGGUAACCUGCCCAUAAGAGGGGGGAUAACAUCCGGAAACGGGUGCUAAUACCGCAUAGUUUUCUUGAUCGCAUGAUCGGGAAAGGAAAGACGGCCUUUGUGCUGUCGCUUAUGGAUGGACCCGCGGCGUAUUAGUUAGUUGGUGAGGUAACGGCUCACCAAGACGAUGAUACGUAGCCGACCUGAGGGGGUGAUCGGCCACAUUGGGACUGAGACACGGCCCAAACUCCUACGGGAGGCAGCAGUAGGGAAUCUUCCGCAAUGGACGAAAGUCUGACGGAGCAACGCCGCGUGAGUGAAAGAAGGUUUUCGGAUCGUAAAACUCUGUUGUCAGAGAAGAACAAGUUGGAGAGUAACUGCUCCAGCCUUGACGGUAUCUGACCAGAAAGCCACGGCUAACUACGUGCCAGCCGCCGC
rnacentral:rRNA from 1 species